GUACUCACUGGGGUAACACGUACUAAAAUUGGAAAGAUACAGAGAUGAUUAGCAUGGCUCCUGUGGAAGGAUGAUACAUAGUUUGGCAAGUGUCUUAUAUUGUG